rnacentral:rRNA from 1 species
UACGUAGGGUGCGAGCGUUAAUCGGAAUUACUGGGCGUAAAGCGUGCGCAGGCGGUUUUGUAAGUUUGUCGUGAAAGCCCCGGGCUCAACCUGGGAAUUGCGAUGAAGACUGCAAGGCUUGAAUCUGGCAGAGGGGGGUAGAAUUCCACGUGUAGCAGUGAAAUGCGUAGAGAUGUGGAGGAACACCGAUGGCGAAGGCAGCCCCCUGGGUCAAGAUUGACGCUCAUGCACGAAAGCGUGGGGAGCAAAC